GAGACUGUCACCUUCACUAAAGUUGGAACGAUACAGAGAAUAUUAGCAUGACCCCUGUGCAACGUUGACACCCUUUACUCGAUAAUUGGUCUAAUUUUUU
rfam:Arabidopsis thaliana chromosome 1, complete sequence.